AGGAGACACGUGAUGCUCUG
rnacentral:miRNA from 1 species